rnacentral:rRNA from 1 species
UUAUUGAAUAAACUUGAACAGGUUGUUGCUGGCCCUCUCCAUGGGCAUGUGCACACUUGUCAUCUUUAUUUCUCCAACUGUGCACAUCUUGUAGACCUAGAAUGUGUUUGGAAUUUAUUUUUCGAGUUGGGACUGCUGUGCUUUUUCUACAAAGUCAGCUUUGCCUUGCAUUUUCUGGGUCUAUGUCUUUUUCACAAACCUCAGAGUCUGUUUAGAAUGUUGAAUCAGGUCCUUUUGUACCUAUAAAGUUAAUUAUACAACUUUCAGCAACGGAUCUCUUGGCUCUCGCAUCGAUGAAGAACGCAGCGAAAUGCGAUAAGUAAUGUGAAUUGCAGAAUUCAGUGAAUCAUCGAAUCUUUGAACGCAUCUUGCGCUCCCUGGUAUUCCUAGGAGCAUGCCUGUUUGAGUGUCAUUUAAGUUCUCAACCACAUCGGAUUUGUUUUCGGUGUGGCUUGGAUAUGGGGGUAUUUGUUGCAGGCUUUUGAAAAAUGAAGUCAGCUCCCCUGAAAUGCAUUAGUAGUAUCUGAGCAGAAAAACUACUAUGGGUGUGAUAAUUUAUCUAUGCCCUUAGUAUUGCUGCAUGAACAGAUUGCGCUGCUUCUAAUGAGUGUGUAUAAUAA